rnacentral:rRNA from 1 species
UACGGUAGGGUGCAAGCGUUGUCCGGAAUUAUUGGGCGUAAAGAGCUCGUAGGUGGCCUGUCGCGUCGGCUGUGAAAACUCGGGGCUCAACUCCGAGCUUGCAGUCGAUACGGGCAGGCUAGAGUUCGGCAGGGGAGACUGGAAUUCCAUGGUGUAGCGGUGAAAUGCGCAGAUAUCAGGAGGAACACCGGUGGCGAAGGCGGGUCUCUGGGCCGAUACUGACACUGAGGAGCGAAAGCGUGGGGAGCGAACAGG